rnacentral:tRNA from 1 species
GCCUGUUUAGCACAGUGGUAAUGCGUUGCACUUGUAUCCUUCCAUCGGGCACAUGCAAAGAUCACUGGUUCGAUUCCAGUAAUAGGCA